AUGGAAUUUAAAGAUGGCGUGCUAAGAUGUAAAGCUUUAGAAACAGGACAUCAGAAAAAUGCUUUUUCUUCUUUUUUUUUUGGGUUCGAAAAGGACCAAACAACUCACUCAUACACUACAUUUUUUUAUCGGACAGUUAUGACUAUUUGGGAUGUUCGUUACUUAGUGCUGAAUCCGUUCAAUUUCAGACCACAAAUAGAUUCAAUAGAGAAUUAA